rnacentral:lncRNA from 1 species
UUUUUUUGCCCAAAAAUAUAAAUAAAUAAAUCCCUAAGUUGAUACCUCGACCUCCUCUUCUCUCCGCCGGAAUCGGCUUCUCCGCCGUUGCUUCGUCUUCCUCGGAGCUUCACCGGCGUCAUCAACCAACAUUACUCACGUGCCUCGUCGUAUGCUUGAAAACUUAAACACUGGUUUACAUUCUAUCUCUCUCUGUGGUCAUGGUGGAUUAGUUCUCAAAAGUCUGCUAUGCUCUUUGGUUGUAAUUAGUUCAGUAAUGUUUUAGUUCCGAUUAAUAAGUAGAUCAUCACCUUAUUGGAUUAUCGAAGCUCCUCCUUUUUCAAAUUUUCAUUUGACUCCCCACUGCAAAAUCGAUACUUGGGCUUACAAACUCUUGUUUAGCCAAAUGUUGUCUCUGAAUUUUUUCCAAGUGAUUUUAGCUUGAUACCAUGCCACAAUGUGUUCUUUUAGAAUGAAAGACAGAGAAAUGGAAACAAGAAACGAAGUGAAGAAGAAAAUUUUCGAAAUUUUCAAAGAAUUUAUGACGGGGUAAAAUUGUUUUGCUUUUGGUUUCUCUUACAUAUAGCUUUCAAUACGUGCUCUUAUGCUCCUCUGAAUCUUGGUUAUUGUGAUGAUAAUUAGAAUCGCAGAGCUUGAAGAACUAGGCAANN